rnacentral:rRNA from 1 species
GAGUUUGAUCGUGGCUCAGAACGAACGCUGGCGGCAGGCUUAACACAUGCAAGUCGAACGCAUCCUUCGGGGUGAGUGGCAGACGGGUGAGUAACGCGUGGGAACGUGCCCUUCAGUUCGGGAUAACCCAGGGAAACUUGGGCUAAUACCGGAUACGUGCGAGAGCAGAAAGAUUUAUCGCUGAAGGAUCGGCCCGCGUCUGAUUAGCUUGUUGGUGAGGUAAUGGCUCACCAAGGCGACGAUCAGUAGCUGGUCUGAGAGGAUGAUCAGCCACAUUGGGACUGAGACACGGCCCAAACUCCUACGGGAGGCAGCAGUGGGGAAUAUUGGACAAUGGGCGCAAGCCUGAUCCAGCCAUGCCGCGUGAGUGAUGAAGGCCUUAGGGUUGUAAAGCUCUUUCGUCCGGGACGAUAAUGACGGUACCGGAAGAAGAAG